rnacentral:rRNA from 1 species
UAAUUCUCUAGUGGCGCACGGGUGAGUAACACGUGAGGUAACCUGCCCCGAGAGCGGGAUAGCCCUGGGAAACUGGGAUUAAUACCGCAUAGUAUCGAAAGAUUAAAAGCAGCAAUGCGCUUGGGGAUGGGCUCGCGGCCUAUUAGUUAGUUGGUGAGGGUAACGGCUCACCAAGGCGAUGACGGGUAGCCGGUCUGAGAGGAUGUCCGGCCACACUGGAACUGAGACACGGUCCAGACACCUACGGGAGGCAGCAG